ACUCAAAUGAAUUGACGGGGGCCCGCACAAGCGGUGGAGCAUGUGGUUUAAUACGUCACUAACCGUAGAACCUUACCAGGGCUUGACAUCUGCUGACCGGCGGUGAAAGCCGUUUUUUCUCCCACAAGGAGAACAGCAAGACAGGUGUUGCAUGGCUGUCGUCAGCUCGUGUCGUGAGAUGUUGGGUUAAGUCCCGCAACGAGCGCAACCCUCAUUCGAUGUUGCCAUCAUUCAGUUGGGCACUCUUCGAAAACUGCCCAUGUAAGUGGGAGGAAGGUGGGGAUGACGUCAAGUCAGCAUGGCCCUUACGCCCUGGGCUACACACAUGCUACAAUGGCAGCUAACAGAGGGACGCAAGACCGCGAGGUGGAGCAAAUCUCACAAACGCUGUCUCAGUUCGGAUUGUAGUCUGCAACUCGACUACAUGAAGUCGGAAUCGCUAGUAACCGCAGGUCAGCUAAACUGCGGUGAAUACGUUCCCGGGCCUUGUACACACCGCCCGU
rnacentral:rRNA from 1 species